UGCAGGUGUGCGUAGGAAUAAGCUCAGGUCGUCUUUUGACGGCAACUCCAAGUGGGUGGGAUCCUGAGUCCUAGGACCUGCAUUUUU
rnacentral:sRNA from 12 species